UACGGAGGGGGCUAGCGUUGUUCGGAAUUACUGGGCGUAAAGCGCACGUAGGCGGCUUUGCAAGUUAGAGGUGAAAGCCCGGGGCUCAACUCCGGAAUUGCCUUUAAAACUGCAUCGCUAGAAUUGUGGAGAGGUAAGUGGAAUUCCGAGUGUAGAGGUGAAAUUCGUAGAUAUCGAGAGGAACACCGGUGGCGAAGGCGGCCAACUGGACAGAUACUGACGCUGAGACACGAAAGCGUGGGGAGCAAACAGG
rnacentral:rRNA from 1 species